rnacentral:rRNA from 1 species
AACGAACGCUGGCGGCAUGCCUAACACAUGCAAGUCGAACGAAGCCUUCGGGCUUAGUGGCGCACGGGUGAGUAACGCGUGGGAAUCUACCCUAGAGCGGGGGACGAACCCGGGAAACCCGGGCGUAAUACCGCAUACGUCCUACGGGAGAAAGAGGGCCUCUGCUUGCACGCUCUCACUCCAGGAUGAGCCCACGUCCGAUUAGCUAGUUGGUAGGGUAAAGGCCUACCAAGGCCACGAUCGGUAGCUGGUCUGAGAGGAUGAUCAGCCACACUGGGACUGAGACACGGCCCAGACUCCUACGGGAGGCAGCAGUGGGGAAUAUUGCGCAAUGGGCGAAAGCCUGACGCAGCCACGCCGCGUGAGCGAUGAAGGCC